UGGGGAAUUUUGGACAAUGGGCGAAAGCCUGAUCCAGCAAUGCCGCGUGUGUGAAGAAGGCCUUCGGGUUGUAAAGCACUUUUGUCCGGAAAGAAAUGGCUCUGGUUAAUACCUGGGGUCGAUGACGGUACCGGAAGAAUAAGGACCGGCUAACUACGUGCCAGCAGCCGCGGUAAUACGUAGGGUCCAAGCGUUAAUCGGAAUUACUGGGCGUAAAGCGUGCGCAGGCGGUUGUGCAAGACCGAUGUGAAAUCCCCGAGCUUAACUUGGGAAUUGCAUUGGUGACUGCACGGCUAGAGUGUGUCAGAGGGGGGUAGAAUUCCACGUGUAGCAGUGAAAUGCGUAGAGAUGUGGAGGAAUACCGAUGGCGAAGGCAGCCCCCUGGGAUAACACUGACGCUCAUGCACGAAAGCGUGGGGAGCAAACAGGAUUAGAUACCCUGGUAGUCCACGCCCUAAACGAUGUCAACUAGUUGUUGGGGGAUUCAUUUCCUUAGUAACGUAGCUAACGCGUGAAGUUGACCGCCUGGGGAGUACGGUCGCAAGAUUAAAA
rnacentral:rRNA from 1 species